rnacentral:rRNA from 1 species
GGAGUUUGGGCCGUGUCUCAGUCCCAAUGUGGCCGGUCACCCUCUCAGGUCGGCUACUGAUCGUCGCCUUGGUGGGCCGUUACCUCACCAACUAGCUAAUCAGACGCGGGCCCAUCUCAUUCUGCCGGAGCUUUUCACACUGUUCCAUGCGGAACCGUGCGCUUAUGCGGUAUUAGCAGUCGUUUCCAACUGUUGUCCCCCUGUACAAGGUAGGUUACCCACGCGUUACUCACCCGUCCGCCACUCAGUCAACAAAUCGUCACCCCGAAGGGAUCGUGAUAAGUUGCUUCGUUCGACUUGCAUGUGUUAAGCACGCCGCCAGCGUUCAUC